GGGCAUGUAGCGCAGUUGGUAGCGCGCUCGCUUAGCAAAAUCGCUUACGUAGUCGGGCUGCGAGAGGCCUCCGGUUCAAAUCCGGACUUGUCCA